UACAGAGGGUGCAAACGUUGCUCGGAAUUAUUGGGCGUAAAGCGCACGUAGGCGGCAUCGUAAGUCCGAUGUGAAAGCCCCAGGCUCAACCUGGGAAGUGCAUUGGAUACUGCGGAGCUUGAAUCUGGAAGAGGGUCGCGGAAUUCCCGGUGUAGAGGUGAAAUUCGUAGAUAUCGGGAGGAGCACCAGUGGCGAAGGCGGCGACCUGGGCCAAGAUUGACGCUGAGGUGCGAAAGCGUGGGGAGCAAACAGG
rnacentral:rRNA from 1 species